UACGUAGGGUGCAAGCGUUGUCCGGAAUUAUUGGGCGUAAAGAGCUCGUAGGCGGUCUGUCGCGUCGGCUGUGAAAUCCCGAGGCUCAACCUCGGGUCUGCAGUCGAUACGGGCAAACUGGAGUGUUGCAGGGGAGACUGGAAUUCCUGGUGUAGCGGUGAAAUGCGCAGAUAUCAGGAGGAACACCGGUGGCGAAGGCGGGUCUCUGGGCAACAACUGACGCUGAGGAGCGAAAGCGUGGGGAGCGAACGG
rnacentral:rRNA from 1 species